GAUGAACGCUGGCGGCGUGCUUAAUACAUGCAAGUCGAGCGAACGGACGAGAAGCUUGCUUCUCUGAUGUUAGCGGCGGACGGGUGAGUAACACGUGGAUAACCUACCUAUCAGACUGGGAUCACUUCGGGACACCGGAUCUAAUCCCGGAUGAUCUUUUGAUCCGCAUGGUUCAAUAGUGAAAGACGGUGUUGCUGUCACUUAUAGAUGCAUCCGGGCUGCAUUAGCUAGUUGGUACGGUAACGGCUUACGAAGGCAACGAUGCAUAGCCGACGUGAGAGGGGGAUCGGCGACACUGGAGCGUGGACGCGGACAUUGCGCCUACGGUAGGCAGCAGAAGGGAAUCGGCGGCAAUGGGGGAAAGCCUGACGGAGCAGCGGCACGUGAGAUAUGAAGGUCUUCGGAGCGUGAAGAUGUGUUACUAGGGAUGAACAUAUUUGGAAGGAACUGUGCACAUCGUGACGGUACCUAAUCAGAAAGCCACGGCUAACUACGUG
rnacentral:rRNA from 1 species